rnacentral:tRNA from 1 species
UUACUAAUAGGUUAUAAAAAUAAACUAAUAGAUUGUGGUUCUAUUGUAUACUUAGGUAUUAGUAAA